AUGAUUUGGACAGGAAUCGGUGGCCCGCAAGGGCUGAAACGGGAAUGCAGAAGGGCGAGAUGGUGCCCCGGCUGCGGCUGCCCCCGCAACUGUGAGCGGCGAGGCGCGUUCAUUCCGGCCAUUGCGAGGCGGCGCAGACCGUCCGCGAGAAGGCCGAACGCGCCCAUGACCCGCGAGCCAGGAGACCGGCCGGUCCCGAGACCAUGCG
rnacentral:ncRNA from 2 species